AGCGAACGCUGGCGGCAGGCUUAACGCAUGCAAGUCGAGCGGGCAUCCUUGUGGUGUCCGCGGCAGACGGGUGAGUAACGCGUGGGAACGUGCCCUUCGGUUCGGAAUAACUCAGGGAAACUUGAGCUAAUACCGGAUACGUGCGAGAGCAGAAAGGUUUAUCUGCCGAAGGAUCGGCCCGCGUCUGAUUAGCUAGUUGGUGAGGUUAUGGCUCACCAAGGCGACGAUCAGUAGCUGGUCUGAGAGGAUGAUCAGCCACACUGGGACUGAGACACGGCCCAGACUCCUACGGGAGGCAGCAGUGGGGAAUAUUGGACAAUGGGGGCAACCCUGAUCCAGCCAUGCCGCGUGAGUGAUGACGGCCUUAGGGUUGUAAAGCUCUUUUCUCCGGGACGAUAAUGACGGUACCGGAGGAAUAAGCCCCGGCUAACUUCGUG
rnacentral:rRNA from 1 species